ACUGCUGCUCGCCUGACUAAUGAGUCUUUCAAAGCUUGGCGCCACUAAUGUAGCAGGCAGCUGUCCUCUUCAGAUCUUGUGUCUUUAUAUAAACUUUGACCUGGAGGCAUUUCUCUUAUGACAGUUCUCUUAUAGCACUCUUGCUUGUACUUUGGCGUCACUUGACUUUACAGCUGAACAUGAGCAACUUGAAAGCGUUGUGCUUCUUGUCUUUGGCUCUCUUUGCUAGUGUAAAGGGAGAUGUUCCUCCACCAUGUGACAGUGAAAUAUACUGCACCGGGCCCAUCUUGCACCAGGUCCAAGAAGCAAAACUGUUUGACGAUGAUAAGCAUUUUGUUGACAUGAAGCUGAGGUCGGCUCCUGAUGAUGUUUUGUCGGCCUUUCGCAAUCUUUCAAGCAAGUUUCCAAAUACAACCAUCCCGCCUGUGAAACUGGAGGAGUUUCUCAAUACAAGCUUUGAUCAACCAGGGACAGAGUUUGAGUCAUGGGCUCCGCCGGACUGGCAUGAGAAGCCAAACUUCCUGAGUGGGAUAGCAGAUGAUAAACUACGCGAGUGGGCAGAAAAGAUCCAUGGUCUGUGGAAAUCUCUUGGCAGAAAGAUCCAUUCUGAUGUUAAAGAUCACCCAGAGCUCUACUCUCAGAUUUACACCCCACAUCCCGUUGUUGUGCCAGGGGGGCGCUUCAGGGAGCUCUACUAUUGGGACUCCUACUGGGUCAUCAACGGGCUCCUGCUGUCAGAGAUGACAGAUACAGCCCAUGGAAUGAUCCAAAACUUCCUCUAUCUUGUCAACAGAUAUGGCUUUGUUCCAAAUGGUGGGCGGAUUUACUAUGAAAGGCGCAGUCAGCCUCCAUUCCUCACUCUAAUGGUGGAGAGCUACUAUCAAGCAACCAAGGAUAAAGAGUUCCUCAGAGCGGCUUUACCAGUUCUGGAGGUGGAGUACCAAUUCUGGAUGGAGAACCGUUCUGUGGAUCUAGAAUUAAAUGGGAAGCAGCAUGUACUGAACCGGUAUUAUGUAGAGGUGGGCUUGCCCAGGCCUGAAUCUUAUCUGGACGAUCUGGAAUUAGCUGAGGGACUCACUGAUGGCAAGAAAGAGCAGCUGUGGAUGGAUCUGAAAACGGGUGCAGAGUCUGGUUGGGACUUUACUUCCCGCUGGUAUAUAGCUGAUGGCAGCGACAACAGUGGCACCCUGAGAGACACGCGCACCAGUCAGAUCCUGCCCGCUGACCUCAACGCUUUGCUGUGCCGCAAUGAGAAAACUCUUGCGUCGUUUCAUCGGCUGCUCGGUGAUAGUGACUCAGCUGCAGUAUACGACCAGGCUGCAGCGAGGAGGCUGGAGGCGAUAGAGUCUGUGCUUUGGGAUGCUGAGAGGGGAGCCUGGUUUGACUACAACCUGAUGACGCGCUCCAAAAACUUUGAGUUUUAUCCCUCCAACCUGGGACCAAUUUGGGCACAGUGCUAUUCUCAGCCUGAGAUGGGAGAGAAGGCGGUACAGUAUCUGAAGGGGAGUGGAGCUCUCCAGUUUCCCAAUGGAGUUCCAACAUCACUGAAAGAGUCUGGGCAGCAGUGGGACUAUCCUAAUGCGUGGCCACCUCUGCAGCACAUGCUUAUCGAUGGUUUUUCCAAGCUACCUUCAGAGGAUGCUAAAAAACUCGCAUUCGAGUUGGCCCAGCGCUGGAUCAAGACAAACUGGCUGGCAUACAUUAAGUAUGAAGCCAUGUUUGAAAAGUACGAUGUGAACGGAGAUGGAAAACCUGGUGGUGGAGGAGAAUAUGAAGUUCAGGCAUGCAACUCUGAACACGCACACUUUCCUGGGUGGACAGCAGUAUUGUAAUUAACCUACAGCACGCUGCUUGGUACAGAAUCAGCACACCUCCACAGAUGUUCAGAGACUGUCUAGCUUCAGCACUGUUUGCCGCAGGGAACAUCUGGCACCACCCACGAUCUGGAUUCUUCUCCCUUGCAAAUGUGUUACAGGAAGAGGAUUUCAAAAUCACGUGGACGGGAAAAAGAGCACUGAUUAUGGGUCCACGGAGGAGAAAGUUUGUAUGGCUGACCAUUCACAAUGUCAUGUGGAGGUUUUUUGCUUUUACUAAAUAUAACCAGUAUCAUUCAAAAAUAUAGCAAAUUUAUAAAAGCAGCUGGAAAGUUUGUUUAAAAUGUUAAAAGAUGUUUUCUUGCAAAUCUGAAAAGGGCUAAAGAAAUACAACCCUAGGUUAAUUUAAACAUUCAUAUGCAAAAACAUAUCUAGCUGUAAGUCUAGGCUAGAAUUAAGUCAUUAAAAAUCAUACAGGACAAAACAAACAAAUAAAUAAAUAAAUAAAUAACAAUUAUCAAAAAUAGUCACAGUUUAAUUAUAUUAAAUGUCAUCAGUGACAAUGUAAGCAUUGACCCCUGAGCCUUUACUGUGAAAACAUCAUCUUCCUCACUGACUAUCUCAUAUGAUUGCCCUACAUGUUGCCACUAAGCAUGAAUUGAUGAUGCAGAUCAGGUACAUAGCAGACUGAAACAGAAAAAUCAUAAAAAGCAAUCUUUUACAAUGAUAGGCAAACCAAUUGAAAGCUGUUUAUAAAGAAAUAUUAGACUAUAAAAUAAUACCCCCUGAUGAAUUAAAAGAAGUAUGACUGACUUUUCUUUUUCCACAAAAUUGAUCAAACAUUCAUAAUCAAGUAGCUUUUGUCCAUUUGUCUUCAUUUUUCUUUGCUACACUUUGGCUUUGCUUCAGGCAAAUGUUAGUCAUUCUGUUUGGUGAUCCUUUAACCCACGACUGUGGUCCACUGUAGACUGUUGGAUGGAUUGUCAAGAUUUACAAAUAUUAAUGGUCUUGAGGGGAUAAAUCCAGCUGCUUUAAUGUGUGUUUAAUUCACUCUGAUAUAAUAAUAUGACUAGUGUGGCUUUAUAGGUCACGCUCACCGCCUUGGGGACAUUUCAGAAAAGCAGGUAAAAGUGUAUGUGUGACAGGUAGCUGGAGUUUCCUCUGGCUUUUUCAAAAUAACAUGGAUCAUUUUUUAAAGAUGUUUUUGAGUGUAACCGGCAGGAUAAAUGGAAGCUAGCUGUUGAAAUAGCAAUUUUGUGCAUCAGGAGUAACCUAUUGACUUACCCCUUGUUUUAGGUCAGUCCACACAUUUCUUCACUUAAGGUGGUUUGUUUAUGCGUUCAUGCCGAAAGCUUAAAGCAAACGAGCUGUCCAACAUAUAAAGUUAGUUUUUACUUGUAACGGCGUCACUGUUGAAGCCUUAUACUUAAAAAAAACAAAACAAAACUGCCAGUUAACUGAGCUAGUCGGAUCAUUUCUUGUUGUAGAUUAUUGGUAUUCAGCACUAGUCAGCAGAGGUUCUUCCCCUCUUUGAGAUUAGCUGUGCAGUAAACAGAGAAAUGCCACCUGUAUGUUGUUUUUCAGGACAGUCCCAUUGCCUCUGGGCCUCAGUCUUCAUCUCUGUGCCUUCUCUUCUCUUGGUUUAUUGACUCCAAUACCGAUGACUAUGGCUGACCAUCAAAAUGAAAUGGCGUGUGACCAUGGCGUAAAAGACCACUUAGCUAUGGAGUUUCAACAAAGUUCGCAUUACACAUGUAAACAAACCAACCUGAGCAGAUUAAUGCCUGUGAUUAAGUCAUACAGCAAUGAGUCCCAGAUGGAGAUCCCUAAUUCAGUAAGCCAAGUGGUCAUUCCGGGUGGCCAAUUUCUGUGUUUACUUUCGGUCAGCUCAAGUAAAUAAAAUGUUCUUGAUGAAAGUUUGUACAGACGUUAAUGGUUCCCAGGCUGUGAAUGCAACACAUCCCCCGACUCUUUCUAUGGCACAGCUAGAAAUAUGUUGUUUUGAGUAAAAUGUCACACAAAUUGACAAAUUGAUUUUUCCUCUGUUUUUAUUGAUGCAUUAUUACUAUUAUAUAAGUAUUAAUAUCCCUCUUAACACUGGAAUGAGUCCUGUUUGACUUUGUAGAUUAGAUAGAAGGUAGAAAGAACGGACUGACAGAAUUGAUGAAUAAUCAUUAGCAUUAUCCUUAUUGAUCAGCUGAUCUGUUUCUCUCCAGAGAAAGACAGACAGAAGGAGGUGGGCAGUGUGCGCAGUGUAAGAGUCCUCAACUGCUUCCAGAUGGUUAAGAAAAAUGGUGGGAUUGAUCAAGUCAAGUUUAUUUCUAAAUCAAUUUCCAGGAAAACAUCUGUGACAAAGAGCUUCACAGACAGUAAACACAGAUAAAAAACAAGGACACAGCGUCACAGAUGAGACACACAGAGUGACUGAUGGUUCAGUGUGCUCUCUGUAGAUGUACCAUAUCCCUUCUAAUGGGCACUAGGGGGCAGAUUAACUAAUCCUCUUUUUGUGAAAUAGUGAAUAAAUAAAUUACUAUGUGAGCGAAUUACUUUAUAGAUCCAUGGAGCUUUGUAUCAAAAAACAAAGACAAAUAAAAAGGGGGCAAAAACAAGAGCAGGAUUAAAUCCAACAGAUGAAGCUGAGCUUCUGUAUGAAGUGGAGAAGCUUUAUAUGGAUACUUGCAUCAGUAUGGAGGACCGAAACUGCCAAAAAACAAUCAAAAUAUAAAUCAAUGACUAAAGAAAUAAAGAUGCAUAAAGAAAUAAACAACAUAAAAAUGUUGUUAUUCAUUGAUUUAUAAAUUGUGACAGGCAGAGCAGUCUAAAAACAUCUCUCGCCCUUUUCCAUCAGCAAACUCAAACUUUUAUGUCACCUUUUUUAAAGCUACUGUGUCAGACUCUGUUGACAAAAACAGUAACUUUGGUCUAUUCCUCAUUCUGUGUUUGGAAUAGUGUGUCUUUUUUGCCAUUUUGAUGCAAUUUGAGGCAAAAUUGCUCCUUCAGUUCAUUCAGACACUGACUGAAAGAUUUCCCAAGGGCAACAAAUAAAAGCUUGUCAGUUGCCCUAACACGUUUUUUCAAAGCUGCAUAACAAGAAUUUUAAACUUGCAGAAUAAUUUUCCUUCGAGUUCUUGUCAGUGUACGAGGAUGCACUUUAUGUUUACAGUGGGAGCCCAUCUGAUUUCUAGUAAAACGUAAGUGGAUGUAUGCGCUAGCAUGUUCAGUGUUCAUACAAAAAUAUAUGGACACACUUUAAUUUUAUGCCUUUGAAAAACUAAUUCGCAGCACUAUUAAUUGUUACAUUUUGUCCAACACUGACAUUGAGUAGUAACAAAUUUAAAAAAAAUGGAAGAAAAUAUUUUUUUAAUCACAGCUUGAUCACUUUUUUGCAUGUAUUUCCCAUUUACCUUUUACCCAAAGAAACCUGUUCUGGCUGUUACAAGUCAACAGCACUGUGCAAAAAUGCAACAAUUACUUUAUGUUUAGUUUGGAGCAGUUGAAGCAGUCUUUAAUUUAGGUAGAUUAUAUUUGAGGCUGUAAACCUGACCUAUUCAGAGCCAUGGGAUGUUUCACAGAAUUAGCAUCCUUCAACCAACUUACAGCUUUUUCAUCUUUAUCUUUAGUUUUAAAUUUUUUUGCAUUAAAGUAAGUAAUUGAGAAACUUGUCUAAUUGUGUAAAUCACAGUAAAGUUGACAACAACAGUUAAAAGUUGAGAAAAUUAAAAAAGCUACUGAUGAUGCUGCCUUGAAUUUUUUUUAGUUUUCUCAACAUUUCUUUUUUUUGGCAGUUUUGGCCUUCCAUAUCCGUGUGAGGGGAUGAAAUGUCAUUGCAGCUCACUUGAGAAAUAAGUAAAUGACAGGCUGCAGGCAAGUAGAUAAGGGGGAACGAAAGGCUAGCAGCUGAUGCUAGGGAGGGGGCAUUGUAGUGGAAGGCAGUCAGUCGGACUCCUGAAGUGCUUCUUGGCACGCCUCAGUGGAAAAAGCUGCCGACUGAAAGUGCUCCAUUGCAUUGACAUUUUGUCAUCGAGAGGGUGGAGGACAUUGUCCAUAAUAGCAGACCGCAAACAUCGUUUUCUCCACCACUACCCCGAGUGAUUCUGGUUCAUCCCUCAAGCAGCACUGGCUUUUCUCAAUUCUUACCAACUUGUUCAGAAAUGUGUGUGUCCCCUGAAGUGACAGUGCACCUCACUAACAAACACCCUCCGUCCUGUCAGAAAGAUUAUGGACUUCUUUCACAAUAGCUGGUCAGGUAGAGGUUUAAAGCUGAAUAUAGCGUAUUAGUCGAUCCUUCUAGAAUUUAGUAAUAAAAUAUUUAUACUAAAAGUAUUUCUCUGACUCAAAAAGGUCAUGUAUUACACAUGACCUGUCUUUUUAAGAAAAGUAAUACAUUACCUUAUUUAUUCAGUUAGAACUUUAUGCUUAAACUACUCACAUUAUUUUUGUGGUUAGUCUACAAUCACCUUCACUAUGACCUGAUGCAUUGUCAUCCAAAUUAAAACUUAUAUUAUCCAACACAAAACUGUGACCUACUGGUGUUUUUGUGUAAAAUAAAGCAAUAGGCAUGUGUUGAACCCUAAGUAGUAUUUAAAUAACCUUUUACAUAUAACAUUUCAUGCACUGUCAGUAAUCCAGUUUUCUAUCAAAGUCACUCUUGAAGUUUUCAGAGUGCUGGCCUUCUUCCACAUGAUGCCUGGAAUUGGGGUCUCCAUGUCCCCUCAGAGAUCUACCUCCCAAGGUGAAAAUUACUGUGUUCUAUUCAGUUCAAUCUUGCAAAUGUAUUCCCAUGUCCCCGGGAUACUUUUGUCUGUGCCUGUAAGCUUUUUUUUUUUUUUUUUGAUUACAUGGUCAGAAGCAAAAAAGGGUGCUUCACAACUAUGCUUCACAGCAAACAAACCGCUCAUAGUUUUUCUGGAAUUAUUUGAGGCUAAAUGACUGAGAAAAAAAAACAUGUUUUUUUAAAAUAAAAGUAGCUAAUGUAGAAAUUCAUGCACUCUGAAAUUCUAAAAAAAUGAUUUGUUAUAAAGCAUAAUAGUACAAAUAUUCAUUUGCCAUACAUUAGCAUAUAGACAAUAUUUGGGAAGAUUCUGAAAAUUGGGCUUUUUUUCAGAGGUGGGUGUAAAUUUUUAGAAAAUACAUAAUUAUAAUUUAGCUUUUAAUUGUGGGAUAAUGAUAGGAUGAUUUUGUUUGUCCAUAUAUCAUUAGAGUAUUACAAUAACAGUUUAGAUAUUUCUUAGUACGUUUUCUAUAUCCCUGCAAAGGACUAGCAACCUGUCCGGAGUGUAUCCCACCUCUUGCCCUUUAACGGUCGAAGUAGUCUCCAGCCAACCCGCGAUCCUUAAUUGCCAGUUAGGGAAGCGGAUGGAUGAACUGAAGUCUCUCAGAACAAAUGUCCUCUUCAAAAACUUUCUUUUACAUGACUAAGGAUCCAAAAUCAUAGCAUAUUCAGUUUGAAAUGAGAUGAUACACAGCUGGAAGAAGUGAAAAUGUCUGCUGGAUAUACAGCAGAGUGUUUAUUCCCACUCUGCAUAUGAAGUAUGAAAAUAAAUGGUCUAAAAAAUCUGAAACUACUCACUUUCCUUCUUCUACACAGCGAUUUCCUGCAGUAAAUGACAAUAAUACAGACACCUUAGUUUGAAUUGUUAUCACCAAAAUGUACCAGUAACAUUGUGACUCUCGACUAUCAUCUUUCCAUAAACUCCAAAGUGCUCUGUUCAUGUAAAACAUCCCUGCAGCCACUCUUUUGACACUUCUGUCAGGGAGUGCCUUUGCCACCAUGUGUCACUGUUGCAACGCUGUGCCGCUGAGUGCUUACCCGUUGUUUGUCUGCAGAAAGGUGGGGGGAGAGAGACAGAAAGCAGGCAGCUGCUGGGCAGAUCAUCAGUCUGUCGUUCCUGUAGUUCUCUCCCUCCUUCUCGUCCUCUCCCUCUUCUCCCAUGGCUCUGCAUGCCCCAGAAACAAGGUAGUUUGGUCUAAUUGCUCUAAUGGCGUUCCAUCCUCAUUAGACUCUUGACCUUGGCUGUGCGUGAUAAGAGUAGGUCACCGUGGAUUAGAAGUGGCCCCCUAGGUCUCCUCCACUCUCCCGUUUACCAGUCGAUACCUCUGACUCAAUUCACUCAUCUGAAAAACCUCUAGUGUUUCCCCAUUUGAAAUGGGGCUGCAUUUAAAACGGGUUUUGGCCUGUCUCUGCUGGACAGACCGGAUGAAUCUUACAUCAUAGAAGCAAGUAAGAAAAUUUAAUGAUGAAAUAUUGUCUUUUUAGUCUGUUUAUUGAACCUAUCAUUGGCCUAUUUGAAACGAUUUGACUUGACUAGACUAGACCUUUAUUUAAUAACCUGCUGUACUGAAAGACUGGCAUUAUUAUAAGCAAAGCUAUACAACACAUCUUUCAUGUGGUUCUCCUGCUGCUCAUUUAAUUCUUUGUUAUCAUAAAGCUAUGAUAAAUUGGUCAGCUCAAUAUAUCAGAUGAUAAUAAUGAAGAGAUAUUGGCGUGAGUGUGUAUGCUGGUCAUUAAUUGAAUAUCUGAGGUAAUUCAGAAACAAUGUCCUGAUUUGUUCAUUAUUGACCAGUUUGUGGGUGUACCAAAGAAUCUUUAGUGUCAGUUGAAGUGCACAAUAUCAGAUAUAUAAAGUGCUGUGCUGUGCUUAUAACUAAUGAAAAUGUUCAACUUUUGGAAGCUGUUACUUUGUCAUACUAUAAUACCUGAUUAUGCUAAUAGAAACAUUUAUUCAAGAGUUGAAAACUAUCAUCAAAAUAUAUAUAUUUUUAAUAUAUGCCUUUUUUUUUCUCCCCACGCAAGGACAUGCUGAUAUCUUCAAAUACUGACAAUCCCGAUUCCUUGAUGAUCCAUUAGAAUGCAUAAUCUAGUCCACAGUUUGGUUCUUUUGUCAAACCAACACCCCUGCACAGAAGCUGCAUUGGCUUCUGGAAAAAAAAAUAAAAGGUGAAGGGAUGGUCUCUAAAUGCAUGGUUCCCCCGUGAAGGAUGGAGCAGGAGGUGUGAGGGUGUGGGUGUGCUUUGCUGGUGACACUGUUGGGGAUUCAUUCAAAAUUGAAGGACACAGAUACCAAACACACCUCCAAGCUGUGUAAGGGCUAUUUGACCAAGAAGGAGAGUGAUGGCGUGCUGCACCAGAUGACCUGACCGCCACAGUGACCUGACCUACCCAAACGAGAUGGUUUGGAUGAGAUGUACCGCAGAGUGAAGGCAAAAGGGCCAACAGCAUCUCUGGGAACUGUUGGAGAACCAUUUCAGGAAACAACAUAGGAUGCUCUGAUUCUUGGUUCAGAGCUGACCGUGAUGGAUAGACAGCAGCAUCAGACCAACAUCAGACCAGUGACACAGUCUAGGUUUUUUUUGUUUGUCCUCUAUGAUAAAAUCAGGCGAGGGCACUGGCAGCUCAUCUUUUUGUCACUCACUGAAACACAAUCUGCAGGACCAAUCAGAUUUUAUCACUGCUUUUGGGGAACGACACGUCUCAUUCAUCUUUUCUGCUCUAUUCAAACUGCGCUGAUUGGCCACAGAAGUGAAUCAUCACAUUUUGUUACCUGCACCAAACUGCAUCGUCUCCCUCCUUACCCUGGUGUGUGAGAAACAUGAGGUAACACAUUUUCAACUUCUUGCCCCAUUACCAUUCCACAUCAUUUGUGGGGCAACAUGUUUACUUGUUUGCAAUGGCUGGCGUGAUGUACUUUUUCACAUUCCAGUUGCUCCGACUGUUUGUUCUCUUGUCUUUUCGGUUCAGGUUUGUCUUUUGCAAAUCCAAACUGCAGCAUCCAAACAAACACCUGCAUUUGAUGAAUGUUUUUCUUUCUUUUAUUUUUUUUUUUACCUCCACCCAUGGUGCAAUUUGGUUGUUUCCCCUGUGCUUUUUGUGAUUUUGACUGUCAUCAGCCUUUCCAUUUGAUAUACAUUAUAAAAAUCUAUUCCUUUUUAAGUCUCUAGCUCAGUCCAAAUAUAUGAAGGUGUCUUUUUUUAUUGAAAUGUCCUAAUAAUCAGUUUGUUUAACUCUUACAAUUCAGAAAUCACUUCGCAUUACCUGCUAGAAAGGAACUUUCUGUAGCACUGACUUAUUAUUACUAUUAAGGUUUAAGGGAAUUUUGUUUCCUAGCAACAUGUCUUUCUAGUAGAGCAAAUAGAUAUUACAUUACAAGACAAGACAAAGUAAAAAAAAUGAAAUUUAGCAGGUUCUUUUAAUAUCAAUGUGUUUCUACUUUGUGGAGUUGUAUCAGCUAUAAUGUUUGCAUUAUGUGCUGCUAACUGAAUAUUUGGGGGUCUUUGAAAAAAGGAGAAAUCUGAAGACGUCUCCUGUUUUGAGAUUUGUUUAUAUUAAAAAAAUUUUUUUUUUAAACUUUAAAAAUUCAUGAAGAGUAAAAAGGUUAUGCAUAAAAAAAGUUACAUUUCCUUUUAAUCACAGGAGCAGAAACAACAAACCGUCUUUUAACUAAUGGAUUCAAUCAAUUACAAGUGUGUAUACAUCCACUUAACAAAUAUGAUAUUAAAUAUUGUUUAAAAAAACUCAUGUUGCAAUUUAGGUUAAAAAAAAAUAUCAAAUUUUAGAAAAGACAACAGGCUCGAUAAAUUCUCUGCCUUACAAAAACGGGUUUAGAUUUGACUGAUAACCACUUCAAGGUGGUCUCUUUGGGUAGCAAUGUAAGACUGAGCAUUGAUGUUAUUUCUAGAUUGUUCCAAAUGGCAGUUUUAUAAUUUGGAUUCCAUUUUGGAGAAGAGGACAAAUUCAGAGGGAGGCAAAUCUGGUGAGCAAGCUACAAUUGAGCUCUUGAGGCCAAACACAUUUUCAUGUACUGUGUGCACUACGACAACACAGAGGAGACACAACAGAAGUUAGAACUCUGAACUGACAGUUUGAACCUGGGGGAUGAAUUCAAGGUUCACAACCCCUCAAAUGUUGGAAAAAAAGAAGGAGAAAACACUCCUGUUGCCUUUGGGAUUGGACAAUAUAGACUGAAGACUGCUGCUAAGCCUCUGGAUUGUAACUGGGGACCCAGCUCUUAUCAACAGCAAUGAUCCUUGACAUGAAAAGUUGGGUUAGUUUGACACAGAAGUUGAGGUUUGCUCACUGUUUGAGUCCGUGGUAACCGAUCAGAAUGGGACUUUCACUGAAUAAUGUAAAAGCAGAAACAGGAAGUAGUUCAAAAGUGCACAAACAUGUGAUCAUCAAGGGGAAAAUAGACAAAUUUAAAACAGGAAGUUGUUUGAGUUUUAGUUCAUGAUCCCACUUAAUAUGGCAAACAAAAAGCUUUUGUUCAGCUGCUCUUUUGUUUUGUGAUACAACAAAGUAAAUUGCUGUGAUGUAGCUCUAACACAUGUCAAUGCUGAUGCAAAGAGAGUUUGAUUGAGUAUUGUCUAGAAUUUACUGCUCACUGUAGAGAACCAUAUUGGAUGUUUAUUAUCAGGACACGGUGAAAUAAUCAAUGAUGGAGUGAAUCAUUCAUGUCAUUCAUGAAGACCUUCUAUGACUCUGUGGUGGCUUCUGCUAUCUUUUAUGGUGUGG